rnacentral:tRNA from 1 species
GCGGUCGUGGUGGAAUUGGUAGACACGCAGCGUUGAGGUCGCUGUCCUGUUAAUUCGGGGUGGAGGUUCAAGUCCUCUCGACCGCACCA